GUGAGCCAGAAUCGGUAUGCCGAUUCCCGCUCACCGUGGGAAAAGUGAGCCAGAAUCGGUAUGCCGAUUCCCGCUCACCGUAUGCAAUAUAAUCAUUAUCAUCAUCAUGACAAUGGAUCAUUCUAGGGGGGUAACAAUGGGCCAUGCUUAACAUAUAUAAAAAUGCAAUAUAAUCAUCAUCAUGACAAUGAACCAUUCUAGGGGGGGUGACAAUGGGCCAUUCUGGGAUGAAGAGCAUGACAAUGGACCAUUCUGGGGGGGGUGACAAUGGGCCAUUCUGGGAUGAAGAGCAUGACAAUGGACCAUUCUGGGGGGGGUGACAAUGGGCCAUUCUGGGAUGAAGAGCAUGACAAUGGACCAUUCUGGGGGGGGUGACAAUGGGCCAUUCUGGGAUGAAGAGCAUGACAAUGGACCAUUCUGGGGGGGGUGACAAUGGGCCAUUCUGGGAUGAAGAGCAUGACAAUGGACCAUUCUGGGGGGGGUGACAAUGGGCCAUUCUGGGAUGAAGAGCAUGACAAUGGACCAUUCUGGGGGGGGUGACAAUGGGCCAUUCUGGGAUGAAGAGCAUGACAAUGGACCAUUCUGGGGGGGGUGACAAUGGGCCAUUCUGGGAUGAAGAGCAUGACAAUGGACCAUUCUGGGGGGGGUGACAAUGGGCCAUUCUGGGAUGAAGAGCAUGACAAUGGACCAUUCUGGGGGGGGUGACAAUGGGCCAUUCUGGGAUGAAGAGCAUGACAAUGGACCAUUCUGGGGGGGGUGACAAUGGGCCAUUCUGGGAUGAAGAGCAUGACAAUGGACCAUUCUGGGGUGAAGUACAUGACAAUGGGCCAUUCUGAACAUGUAUAAAAAUGCGAAAUGCUAUACGAUUAUCAUAUAUAGGGCUGAAAAUAUAAUAUUUGUACAAAUUAUGAAAAAUCGAAUAAUUUGAAAUAUUUACAAAAAUAUUUUAAGUUGUUUGUUAACAUGCCGGGUGUGUAUGGUUGAUAAGAAAAGAGUGCAGACGUUAUUUUUGCAACAACAGGAAUCCGUUAAAGAUAUGACAACCCACAUUGCUAAAAGGCCGGAUGGAGUCGGAUGAUAACAUGUAACCACAGUUGUUAUUUGUGUAAAUGUUAUCGCAUAUUUUUAAAACCCACAAGGUCUUGUUUUUGCAAAACAUGGAAAUCUUAUCUCUGAAAUGAACAAUGUAACCGUGAGAAUGUAAACAUGUGAUCACGUUCGUGUUGCGUGGGGGUAACGAGCUGCGGAAUCCUUUAAAAACGGAGCAGCGCACUCCUUUGUCACAAUCGACAUCUGAAAGUCUUACAGUAAGUCAUAAGUUCGCAGUGAAGUGAAAAUAGUGAAGCAGGAUGGAUCUAGCCAAAAUAAACAAAUUCUCGCUUAUUGCAGAGAGAAAGCCAGUCCAAAAUUUGAGGGACCUACCUGUCGACACUCCAUUUAUAAUUUACUCGGCGAAAAUAGUAAAAAGCAAGUUUGGGGAGGUUGUAUUGCUUGAACUAGAAGAAAGCAUGGUUUUCCUACCUGACAGAGUGACAGCAGCCUAUAAACCAUUUGUACAAGAAUUUUCUACCCAAAAAUAUUCUCUAGUCUACAAAGGCGCCAUCAAUAUUGGAAAGCAACAUCCUGCAUCAUCUUUUGAAGUUAUUGAAAAAUAGAAGCAGUACACCAUCCGGACAACAGUCUAGCUUUAGAGGUACAUCCGCUGUAAACUAACCUCAGCAAAAACUUCAAGCUAGCAACAAUCAUCUGGAACAACAUCAUAGCAUCUCUCUGAACCAACUUCAAGCUAGCAACAAUCAUCUGGAAAACAGCAUAGCAUCUCUCUGAACCAACCUCAAGCUAGUAACAAAAAUUGGUGAGUUUUCAUUAUUAAACUUUAUUCAAUAUGA
rnacentral:lncRNA from 1 species